rnacentral:rRNA from 1 species
CCUACGGGAGGCAGCAGUGGGGAAUAUUGCACAAUGGGGGAAACCCUGAUGCAGCCAUGCCGCGUGUGUGAAGAAGGCCUUCGGGUUGUAAAGCACUUUCAGUUGUGAGGAAAAGUUAGUAGUUAAUACCUGCUAGCCGUGACGUUAACAACAGAAGAAGCACCGGCUAACUCCGUGCCAGCAGCCGCGGUAAUACGGAGGGUGCGAGCGUUAAUCGGAAUUACUGGGCGUAAAGCGCACGCAGGCGGUUUGUUAAGCUAGAUGUGAAAGCCCCGGGCUCAACCUGGGAUGGUCAUUUAGAACUGGCAGACUAGAGUCUUGGAGAGGGGAGUGGAAUUCCAGGUGUAGCGGUGAGAUGCGUAGAUAUCUGGAGGAACAUCAGUGGCGAAGGCGACUCCCUGGCCAAAGACUGACGCUCAUGUGCGAAAGUGUGGGUAGCGAACAGGAUUAGAUACCCUGGUAGUCCACACCGUAAACGCUGUCUACUAGCUGUGUGUGUCUUUAAGACGUGCGUAGCGAAGCUAACGCGCUAAGUAGACCGCCUGGGGAGUACGGCCGCAAGGUUAAAACUCAAAUGAAUUGACGG